GAUCCUUUAGUAUAAUUAAGUAUACUCGACUUCCAAUCGAGGGGCGGUAAGGAUUA
rnacentral:tRNA from 1 species